UCCUACGGGAGGCAGCAGUGGGGAAUAUUGGACAAUGGGCGCAAGCCUGAUCCAGCCAUGCCGCGUGUGUGAAGAAGGCCUUUUGGUUGUAAAGCACUUUAAGCGAGGAGGAGGCUACUUGGAUUAAUACUCUAGGAUAGUGGACGUUACUCGCAGAAUAAGCACCGGCUAACUCUGUGCCAGCAGCCGCGGUAAUACAGAGGGUGCGAGCGUUAAUCGGAUUUACUGGGCGUAAAGCGUGCGUAGGCGGCUUCUUAAGUCGGAUGUGAAAUCCCUGAGCUUAACUUAGGAAUUGCAUUUGAUACUGGGGAGCUAGAGUAUGGGAGAGGAUGGUAGAAUUCCAGGUGUAGCGGUGAAAUGCGUAGAGAUCUGGAGGAAUACCGAUGGCGAAGGCAGCCAUCUGGCCUAAUACUGACGCUGAGGUACGAAAGCAUGGGGAGCAAACAGGAUUAGAUACCCUGGUAGUCCAUGCCGUAAACGAUGUCUACUAGCCGUUGGGGCCUUUGAGGCUUUAGUGGCGCAGCUAACGCGAUAAGUAGACCGCCUGGGGAGUACGGUCGCAAGACUAAAACUCAAAUGAAUUGACGGA
rnacentral:rRNA from 1 species